ACUCCGCUCUCGCUGUGGAGAGGGGGAUCGGCACCCCCCGGCCCCGCGCUGCCGGCCGUCACCGGCCUGAGGCGAUGCCCCCCGCGGCCGCCCGAGCCCUCCCCCGCGGCCGCCCGGGCACUCGCCGCCACCGGCAACCCCCACAGCCGCAGAAGCCGCAUCCCUCCCCGCAGGGCCUGUCAGCGCCUGCCCGCCACCCACCCUUUUUUAUCUGCUGGAAGCAGCGAUGCCUUUUUUCCUGCCCCAGAAAGGAAAGCGAGCAGUACGAAGGCCUAGACUACAGAAGAAGCCCUGACUGACUGUAACUGCGCUUCUUCAAGAUACACCUCCUUCGGCAGGUGCCCCGGCGGCGGGCAGGGCUACCCGGAGAACUGCUGCGGCAGCACCGGCACGCUCCUCCUGCCUUGCCUCCCCCCGCCAUGCGGCGCGCCAGCGGCCGGGCGAGAGGGCUUGUGCCUUCCCUGCCUCCCCAAGGCUGCGCCUCUGGAAAACGAGGGGGUGCUUGGGGGGGGCAGAACCGAAGGCAGGCUGCCCAGCUACCGCACAUCCCGAAGACGGAUGACAGAUCAGUCGUUCUCUGGUGACUGACUGCUGCUUUACAUUCACACCCUCACAGGGCAGGGAAGUCUAGAACUGGGUCACAGAAACCCUGGCUGAGUAGACAACGAUUAAUUUCCCAAGGGGCGAUUCAAAAACUAUGCCUAGUUGACUUUUUGGAAGAUACAUACACCCAUACCCCCCCCCCCCCCCCUUUACAGUUUAAUCAAAGCUGCUUUAAGUGGAUCGGCAGAUUACAGUUAAGUGACCAAUCAUUACCAAUUCCUGCUUAAAGCACUAAGCAAGUGUAAUUCAAGAUCCUUUGCUGUACAGGCCACCUUAGGUCCUACGGUCUCACCUAGCUGUAACAGUCGUUCCUUGGCAACAGAGGCACACGUUUCUCAGAUCAGUAUGCUGUCAGGGAAGAACUGCGUUCCGUACAGCUUUCCAUUCUCCACAAAAGGAGAGAGUAGAUCAACAUCCAGUCAAGUAGCUGCAGACACAGCCAUGCAUCAAAAUAAAUCUAGUUCUAUUUGCAAUACCCUUUCUAAUGAGUAUUAUUCUGCAUAGUACUUUCCUGAAGAAAGGUUCAAGGUAUGUAUUUGGAUUAUGAAUCCUUUAUUACUUUUUAGUAUUUUCAGACAAUGCAUCAUAUUUUGCUGGCAACUUCACCGCUACGGUCGGGACCCUCAGCGUAGGAACUGUGGAAGGAGAUUAAGUAGGCUGACUUGGAGGUGGCAAAUCAGCAAUUCACAGACAGUGCAGUACCUUCCCUGACUUUUGGCCAGAAUGUCAUUUUCUGUUCCUGUAUCAACUAGUAGGAUACACAGGCAUAAACUAGAUUAUUGGAACUAUAAUUCAGUCAGAAUUUUCAAACUUGAGCAAUCAAUAAUUGAAUGAGUUCUGUACAGUAAGAAGGAAAGGCAGAACAUAGUAAGGAAUUACUGUCCCAGAAAAAAAUAAAAAUGAUUAUUACAGACCAGAGUGUCACUAAUACUCUGUGCCAUAAUGGAUUAUUCUAGUUAAAAAAAAACCAACAAAAAACCCCCAGCUAUGCAUAAUUUGUGAUACCUGACAUAGCUGAGGCAGUGUUGCUUCUUUCUGUAGUGCUACAGUUACACUUAAAAGCAACAUUCAAAAACCCAGUGACCAUCUGUUUUCCUAAAAAAACCAAACAAAAAAGGCCAGUAGUAAGAAGUUCUUCGAAGAUUUGAAAGGAAACUUCUGAGAAAAAGGUGACACGCAUUCAAAAGCAACGCACACACAAAGCGGCACCUCUUUAUAGCCCAGUUUGAAAUUUCUUUAAGCAAAGUGUCAUUUUCAAAUACUAAACAUUUUUGUUAAAUCGCAAUUGAUUUGUCAGGAGUGGCAAAUACUGUGGAUACUUCUUCUGAUGCAUGAAGCUUGGUCAUGUGCUUUGAUCUGAAUGCAAAGUAUGUUUCUUUUCCAAACCAGUGCUAAAGAGUGGCUUCCCUUCCCAACAUUUGCAUUCCAUGCUUUUGUGCCUUCACAGGCUUACCAUUAUGCUACAAAGAAAAUAAAUCUUUUUGAAGGGUUGUUUAUCUGCAAAGUACUGUUCAGAAACUUAUAGAUGAGAAACACUUUUACACAGUGCACUUGAAAUCUGUAAAUGCUAAAAUUCCAGUGAAAUCAUCUUUAAACCUCUCAAGGCUCACCUCUAUCAUACACAGAACUAUCAGCAGUUAAAAGCGGGCAGACAAGCAGCAAAUGGCGAUUGUGACAGUGUGAAACCUGCUUUCUUUCACUCUCUCACAUCUCAUUCCACCAUCACUAAUUUGUAUUAGACUCCUGUAAGAUCCAGACAAGUAGGAAAGAUUGUUAACUGUUUAAGGCAAAAAUUAUUCUGUCUUCUCUACUCAGUAGGACAGAGUUAAAACCAAUUUUUCCAUAUUGCAGUAUAGGCUUAAAGCUCUUGCAAAGCUCCCUACGUACAGAGACCACAAACUUCACCACCGCUUCAAACAAAAGUCUCACUUCAUGAUUUUUCAGGAUUUCUGGUGGAGGACAAAGCUUAUUUUGCAAACCUUGAUCUGAAUUGCUUCAUAUAUACAAUUCCUAGUUCCCAACAUGUCUGUACAGGGUGACUUUGCGUAUUUCUUACCUACAUGUAAGACAUACUGUCUCCACAGCUGACAGAGUAUACAUCUGGAAUCUGACAGCUACUUUACAGAAAAAAAGACACACUACAAGAGAUGCAAAACUAAAACAUGUAAAGCAGAAUCCCUUGAAGACACUAUUAGUUUAUGAUAAUGCAUAUAUGAAUGCUUGUUUCUUGGGAUGCUAAGUUUUGAGUAAGUAUGUCUCCCCCAAGAUAUCUGCUUGUGAAGUCAGCAGGAAGUCUGACCUGUAUUUGAAUUAAAAUUUUUGUAUGAAAAGUA